rfam:Phycisphaerae bacterium SM1_79 WOR1_30_36_3541, whole genome shotgun sequence.
ACAAUCCAGCCUGGCCAAAGCUUAACCAGCAGGCCAGAACAGAACUUUGCACAUAUGGAGGUAACGAAAUAUGUGGAGCCAAAGGGAUGGCAGAUUAUCGACCAUAACGGAAGUGAAGGUGUUGAGCCCCGAAAUGUUGGAUAUUGCAUUGGGCGAGGGGUUGAUUGUCCCCGAAGCCAGCAUUGCUGCACACGUUAAUGGUGAGUGUGUCAGCGACGUGCCGGGGUCUGAGGCCA